GGGUGGUCCGAAGGUAGUGAGUUAUCUCACCUAAUUGUUCACAGUCAGUUACAGAUUGAACUCCUUGUUCUACUAUUUUCCUCCCUCCUCACUACUGCACUUGACCAGUCUUAA
rnacentral:Y_RNA from 1 species